CGGGGGCGGCCACGUAGGGACGCCCACACCCCAAAUUUUAUUUUUGGGUGUUUUCUCACCACUCUUUUUUAGACCCCCCCCCAGGGUUUUUUAACAUUAUUAAGUAUUUCCCGGGUCUUGUAGUUUUGUGGGGGAAAUUGUGAGGGGGGGUAACCAAUUUUUCCCCCCAGGAAAACCCGUUUUGCCCCAUGUUUCCCCCAAAGCUUUUUUGGGGGCCCUAUAAAAAAAACCCAAGUUAUCCUUCAAACGCGUUGGGAGUUUCCCCCUAAGGUGGACCUCCAGGGGGGGCCGGAAUUCAUUAGGAUUUUUGGUCCUUAGAAGAAAGUAAAAAGUUGAAACAAGGGUUUCCGUAGGUGAACCUGCGGAAGGAUCAUUAAAAAAAAAUUAAUAAUUUUGAAAAUGAUUUUUUUGUUUUGCCAAGAGCAUGAGAGCUUUUAUGGGGCAAGAAGACCAAGAGAUGGAGAGUCCCAGCCGGGCUUGCGCUAAAGUGCGCGGUCUUGCUAGGCUUGUAAGUUUCUUUCUUGCUAUUCCAAACGGUGAGAGAUUUCUGUGCUUUUGUUAUAGGACAAUUAAAACCGUUUCAAUACAACACACUGUGGAGUUUUCAUAUCUUUGCAACUUUUUCUUUGGGCAUUCGAGCAAUCGGGGCCCAGAGGUAACAAACACAAACAAUUUUAUCUAUUCAUUAAAUUUUUGUCAAAAACAAGAAUUUUCGUAACUGGAAAUUUUAAAAUAUUAAAAACUUUCAACAACGGAUCUCUUGGUUCUCGCAUCGAUGAAGAACGCAGCGAAAUGCGAUACGUAAUGUGAAUUGCAGAAUUCCGUGAAUCAUCGAAUCUUUGAACGCACAUUGCGCCCCUUGGUAUUCCAGGGGGCAUGCCUGUUUGAGCGUCAUUUCCUUCUCAAACAUUCUGUUUGGUAGUGAGUGAUACUCUUUGGAGUUAACUUGAAAUUGCUGGCCUUUUCAUUGGAUGUUUUUUUUCCAAAGAGAGGUUUCUCUGCGUGCUUGAGGUAUAAUGCAAGUACGGUCGUUUUAGGAUUUACCAACUGCGGCUAAUCCUUUUUUAUACUGAGCGUAUUGGAACGUUAUCGAUAAGAAGAGAGCGUCUAGGCGAACAAUGUUCUUAAAGUUUGACCUCAAAUCAGGUAGGAGUACCCGCUGAACUUAAGCAUAUCA
rnacentral:rRNA from 1 species